rnacentral:rRNA from 1 species
AAUAUUGCACAAUGGGCGAAAGCCUGAUGCAGCAACGCCGCGUGAGUGAUGAAGGUUUUCGGAUCGUAAAACUCUGUCCUCAAGGAAGAUAAUGACGGUACUUGAGGAGGAAGCCCCGGCUAACUACGUGCCAGCAGCCGCGGUAAUACGUAGGGGGCUAGCGUUAUCCGGAUUUACUGGGCGUAAAGGGUGCGUAGGCGGUCUUUCAAGUCAGAAGUUAAAUUCUACGGCUCAACCGUAGCCAGCUUUUGAAACUGGAAGACUUGAGUGCAGGAGAGGAGAGUAGAAUUCCUAGUGUAGCGGUGAAAUGCGUAGAUAUUAGGAGGAAUACCAGUAGCGAAGGCGGCUCUCUGGACUGUAACUGACGCUGAGGCACGAAAGCGUGGGGAGCGAACA